rnacentral:tRNA from 1 species
ACUAUUUUGGCAGAUUAGUGCAAUAAAUUUAGAAUUUAUUUAUGUAAAUUUUUUUACAGAUAGUA